GCCGAAAUAGCUCAGUUGGUAGAGCGCCGCUCCUGUAAAGCGGAUGUCCACGGUUCGAGUCCGUGUUUCGGCUCCA
rnacentral:tRNA from 2 species